CUUUUCGUCAUUCCCAUUAACUUGGCUCAUCUCUUUUCUAGCCUUCCCCAUUCUCUUCCUUUUCCUUUGGUAUGGAAUACAAUAUUAGCACCUUUGUUUUAACUUUCUCCAGAGAUCAACACCACCACCAGGUAUUUCAGGAGGGAUUUUCUAUCUGCCAUUUCUCCUCGACCUGGAGUGAUUGUGCUUGAGAAAGAGUCAUGGGAAAAAGUGAAGAGAGAAAAUGAGUCGAUAAGAAACGAGAUGGAUGAAAUAUUCAAAUUCAAAUAAGUUUAUAAAGAGAGAAAGCACAAGGCACGCGGAUGGAUUGACGACUAAUGGAUACAGAGUGAUGAAUGAACUGGAAUGUGAAGACAAAACAUUCUCCAUCAAUUCCCCUCCCUCCCUACCUUCUGUUGUAUAUGUGGAUCAGAAGAUCGUCUCCUACUCAGGUUUGCUCUGGGAUUUGAUUCAAUCUGAUCUCAUUAAUAACUUAUAUAUACAAUUCCAAGAUUCUAUGGUACAACCUAGCAUUUAAUUGAUUUUGUAGGUGGCAGUGGGAGGUGGAAAUAUUUCGAUUAACUAACAAUAGGUAUGGGUUCAUUGGAUUAUUGAUACAAUCAGGUGGGAGUUGAAGUGGUUCAUUUGUUAUUUUUCUUUUCCAAAUAUACCGUGUUUCCUUAGUAGAGUUAUUCAUGUUCCAAUGUGGGUUCACACUAACUGAAAACCAUUAAGAGGGUUUCGGGUGUUUAUGCUCAUAUGAAUAAUUCAUUCAUCACAAGAUUCUAAUCUUCAUCGCCACCUUAAAACUCCAACACCUAGCAACCAAUAUUUUAAACAAGUGAACCUCAUGCAGACCUCCCAUGUGCGGCCUUCUGAAUUUCUCUAUGAAUAUUAGCAAUUCCUAGAUUCACUCCAUAUCAUCUCCCUAGAAUAUACACAUACAUUCGAGUCCAUGCAUGCAUAACACUGUUACUUAAAAUGAGAGUCUCUCUAAGCCCUCUCUCUCUAGUCUUUUCUGUUAUCCGAAUCCUCAAAAUUUAAGAAAAAGUCUACUCCAACGGUCUUUUUUUUAGCCUGUUAGCUCUUCCAGCGGUCUUUUUCUACCGGAAGCCAAUGCCGGCCGCGUAAAGUUUCUCCUGAGCUCUAAGAUUUUUAUGAUUUUUGAGCCUUUUGUUCUCAAUCAAGACUACCCAUUGAUCUCUGUUAACUAAAUCCUUCCAAUCUGCGAGUCAAUUUAAGUUCCACUAGUCCUCUAAUUUUCUAAGUUUCUGUGAUUCGAAUUCUAAAGACACCAAGACACAAAAGACCCUAAAGACACCAAGAUACUUACACCAGUACCAGUUUCAAGAAGACACCAGGUUUCGUGAUAUCCUUACAAGCUGCAAUAGACCCGAAAUUUUUAAGAUUUGUGUCGUUCUCUGUUUUAUUAGAAAAAUUCAAGUGUUAGUUUAUCUCGUCUGUUUUUGCCUAAAAAGUUUCUUAGAUUCACAACUUUUGUAUUCCGGAAGUUGAAAAGUUUUUCUUAUGACUUGCUAUUUUUGAAAAGUUCAAUUGUGAUUCCAAUCUGAUUGUUUUAUCUAUUAGUGUCCCUGAGUUAAGCUUUUUGUUUUGUUAUAAGUUAAUUUCUUCUCUAUUUGCCGUCUUCCUAGUCUCUUCUUGUUCGGCUGAUUGUUGAGGGAUGAGUAUCCUGAGUUGGAAUUGUCAUGGUUUUGCAAAACCAAAAGCAAUUCUUGAACUUAGGGAAUUAAUCAAGUUAAAAUCUCCUGAUAUAAUUUUUUAUGUGAAACUAUGAUCGGUAAUAAGGCCUCUACUUCUAAGCUACGAUCUUUAGGAUAUCACAACUCUUCAUUGGUUCCAUCUAUAGGGAAGAAAGGUGGUGUUGCGCUAUCCUGGAAGGAUGGUUUUGACAAUAUUGUUAAACAGUCCAGCCAACAAGGAUUCGUAUGCUCCACUAGAUCAAUUAAAGCUAACAAGGUAUGUAACUUAUAUUUUACUUAUGGUGAACCAAAUAGAAGCUUGAGAAAUCUCAGUUGGGAUGCCUUUAUGGCCCAACCUUAUAAUCAAAAUAUCUUUACAAUUGUAGUAGGAGAUUUGAAUUGCAUCCUUUUACCACAAGAUAAGUGGGGAAAGAGACCUGUUACAGAACAAGACACAAAAAUGCUAGAAAAUCUUAUGAAUUUGUGGGACUUGAGAGAUUUCCCAUUCUCAGGUCCCGAUUUUACAUGGACUCAUAAACAAAUAGGAGAAAACCAAGUGAUGGAACGUAUUGAUA